rnacentral:rRNA from 1 species
GGGGAAACCCAGUGUGAUUCGUCACACUAUCAUUAACUGAAUCCAUAGGUUAAUGAGGCGAACCGGGGGAACUGAAACAUCUAAGUACCCCGAGGAAAAGAAAUCAACCGAGAUUCCCCCAGUAGCGGCGAGCGAACGGGGAGGAGCCCAGAGCCUGAAUCAGCAUGUGUGUUAGUGGAAGCGUCUGGAAAGGCGCGCGAUACAGGGUGACAGCCCCGUACACAAAAGCGCAUGUGCUGUGAGCUCGAUGAGUAGGGCGGGACACGUGGUAUCCUGUCUGAAUAUGGGGGGACCAUCCUCCAAGGCUAAAUACUCCUGACUGACCGAUAGUGAACCAGUACCGUGAGGGAAAGGCGAAAAGAACCCCGGCGAGGGGAGUGAAAAAGAACCUGAAACCGUGUACGUACAAGCAGUGGGAGCCCCACCACCAAAGCAUUUGCUGUACCGCGUUGACGGAGCGAAGCGACGUCAAACCGAUAAAACAGCAGUGUAAAGUGAGCCGCAGGGCGCUUUGCGCGACAGCGCAAAGGCAGGCGGUUUCGCGUAGCGAAAGCGAAUGCUUUGGGGUGG